rnacentral:rRNA from 1 species
UCUGCUGAGGGUAAGCCCUACUUCGCCUCGAUUU